rnacentral:rRNA from 1 species
GGGGAAUUGUUCGCAAUGGGCGCAAGCCUGACGACGCAACGCCGCGUGGAGGAUGACGAUUUUCGGAUCGUAAACUCCUGUCGAAUGGGACGAACAGAUUGCGGGUGAACAGCCCGUAGUCCUGACGGUACCGUUAAAGGAAACCCCGGCUAACUCCGUGCCAGCAGCCGCGGUAAUACGGGGGGGGUAAGCGUUGUUCGGAAUGACUGGGCGUAAAGGGCGCGUAGGCGGCACGGACAGUCAGGCGUGAAAUUCCUGGGCUUAACCUGGGGGCUGCGUUUGAUACGUCCGAGCUAGAGGAUGGAAGAGGCUCGUGGAAUUCCCAGUGUAGAGGUGAAAUUCGUAGAUAUUGGGAAGAACACCGGUGGCGAAGGCGGCGAGCUGGUCCAUUACUGACGCUGAGGCGCGAAAGCGUGGGGAGCAAA